CCUACGGGAGGCAGCAGUAAGGAAUAUUGGACAAUGCUCGCAAGAGUGAUCCAGCCAUGCCGCGUGCAGGAAGAAUGCCCUAUGGGUAGUAAACUGCUUUUGAACUAGAGAAAACCCCAGUACGUGUACUGGGCUGAUAGUAUAGUUAGAAUAAGCAUCGGCUAACUUCGUGCCAGCAGCCGCGGUAAGACGAAGGGUGCAAGCGUUAUCCGGAUUCAUUGGGUUUAAAGGGAGCGUAGGUGGACUGAUAAGUCAGUGGUGAAAUCUCCGAGCUUAACUCGGAAAUUGCCAUUGAUACUGUUGGUCUUGAGUACAGUUGCUGUGGGCGGAAUAUGACAUGUAGUGGUGAAAUACAUAGAGAUGUCAUAGAACACCGAUUGCGAAGGCAGCUCACAAAGCUGUAACUGACACUGAGGCUCGAAGGUGCGGGGAUCAAACAGGAUUAGAUACCCUGGUAGUCCGCACCGUAAACGAUGAUUACUCGCUGCUAGGGGGCAACCUUUAGUGGCUUAGCGAAAGCGAUAAGUAAUCCACCUGGGGAGUACGCCGGCAACGGUGAAACGUCAAAUGAAUUGACGGCUUGAGGACGNGCGAGCGACGACGAGGGAGAGG
rnacentral:rRNA from 1 species